rnacentral:rRNA from 1 species
GUGGGGAAUAUUGGACAAUGGGCGAAAGCCUGAUCCAGCCAUGCCGCGUGUGUGAAGAAGGUCUUCGGAUUGUAAAGCACUUUAAGUUGGGAGGAAGGGUAGUAACCUAAUACGUUGCUACUUUGACGUUACCGACAGAAUAAGCACCGGCUAACUUCGUGCCAGCAGCCGCGGUAAUACGAAGGGUGCAAGCGUUAAUCGGAAUUACUGGGCGUAAAGCGCGCGUAGGUGGUUCAGUAAGUAUGAAGUGAAAUCCCCGGGCUCAACCUGGGAACUGCUUUCAAAACUGCUGAGCUAGAGUACGGUAGAGGGUGGUGGAAUUUCCUGUGUAGCGGUGAAAUGCGUAGAUAUAGGAAGGAACACCAGUGGCGAAGGCGACCACCUGGACUGAUACUGACACUGAGGUGCGAAAGCGUGGGGAGCAAACAGGAUUAGAAACCCCGGUAGUCC